rnacentral:tRNA from 1 species
ACCUGGGUGGCUCAGUCGGUGAAGCAACUGACUUCAGCUCAGGUCAUGAUCUCGCGUUUGUGGGUUGGAGUCCCACAUCAGGCU